GAUCCGGUUAAAAUUCCGGAACC
rnacentral:snRNA from 1 species